CCUACGGGGGGCUGCAGUGAGGAAUAUUGGUCAAUGGGCGAGAGUCUGAACCAGCCAAGUAGCGUGAAGGAUGACUGCCCUAUGGGUUGUAAACUUCUUUUAUAUAGGAAUAAAGCGUUCCACGUGUGGGUUUUUGUAUGUACCUUAUGAAUAAGGAUCGGCUAACUCCGUGCCAGCAGCCGCGGUAAUACGGAGGAUCCGAGCGUUAUCCGGAUUUAUUGGGUUUAAGGGGAGCGUAGAUGGGUUGUUAAGUCAGUUGUGAAAGUUUGCGGCUCAACCGUAAAAUUGCAGUUGAUACUGGCAGACUUGAGUGCAGAAGAGGAGGGUGGAAGUCGUGGUGUAGCGGUGAAAUGCGUAGAUAUAUCGAAGAACUCCAGUGGCGAAAGCGGCUUUCUAGUCUGUCACUGACGUUGAGGUUCGAAAGUGUGGGUAGCAAACAGGAUUAGAUACCCGUGUAGUC
rnacentral:rRNA from 1 species